rnacentral:lncRNA from 1 species
GUUACUUAAUUAAUUUAUGUUAUGACAUGAUUUAUAAUUAAUGUACAUUCCAUUAUUGAUGAUUAUCUUAGUAACUAAAUAGGAUAAAGAUUAAUAUGAUCAAAUAAUACACUUAACCUAGCUAGGCCACCACCCUGAUGGUUCGGGCCAUGGUUUUGCCCUUCAUGAUUUAUGGGUCACAACUUUGCCCUCCAUGAUGUAUGAUAAUAUCUGAUGGAUACGUACUCCCAAACUUUCAUGAUUUUAGCGCUAGGGCGGUUAGGCUAGUUAGCGGAGUUAGGGGGGCCUAGAUAAACAAAUAUGAUUUGAAGUACUUAAGACUUUUACCAAUAAGAUACUAAGACUCAUGAUAUACUAAUAAACUAUUAUUAAUGCUACCUAUCGUGUCGCAAGACCUAGAGUGAGUGACGAGUAGAGGAUAUCCAGUACUUGCAUUUUAUGGAGUUAGGUUUGAGAUUAUUUCUUUUAGACUUUUAUUGAUGGAUUUUAUGUUAGGCGUCCAAUUGUUAGGGCUUUUUAUUGCAUUUUGACUUUUAUGUGUUUUUAUUGGAUGAUCUGGACCAGUUUUUAUCCGUUUGUUUUUGUAGUCAUUUAAUAGUCCCAAUGGAAUUUGUGUUGGAGAUCUCACUCAACAAUGGGUAUCGGAAAGGAGGUUCCUUUCCUAGAAACGAAACCUUGUUGACAGAACACAAAAUCAUUUGUGUUCCCAGGAAGUAGGGGAGUCAAAAGGACUACUUAAAUCCCUACAACCUUAGGAAUCAUUUCUUUAUAAUACCCAAGUUGAGAACUUCGUGCACAACAAUGUUCCAGAGAACUUAGGGGGAUCUUGGAUCGUGACGGAAUCGUGGAUACCACUUUCCGAAAAGAGUAUUUCGACCCUUAUAAGCCUUGAGUUACACGAAAUCUCUCCCGAGGAUAAGACCAUCACCACUCUUAUUCUUAGGCUCAAGAGAUAAGAGUAAAACCUUGAGAACCUUUGGAGAAAGAUUACUCCACCACUUUAAUGACCAAAGUGCCUACAUGUCUUGAAUGCUUUGUGUGGUGUAUGGAGAAUGCA